GUAAGGAAUAUUGGGCAAUGGACGCAAGUCUGACCCAGCCAUGCCGCGUGCAGGAUGACUGCCCUAUGGGUUGUAAACUGCUUUUGUACGGGAAAAAACUUCCGGUCGUGUACCGGGACUGAUGGUACCGUGCGAAUAAGCAUCGGCUAACUCCGUGCCAGCAGCCGCGGUAAUACGGAGGAUGCAAGCGUUAUCCGGAUUCAUUGGGUUUAAAGGGUGCGCAGGCGGAAUGGUAAGUCAGUGGUGAAAUCUUCCGGCUCAACCGGGAAACUGCCAUUGAUACUGCCGUUCUUGAGUAUAGUUGAAGUGGGCGGAAUGUGUCAUGUAGCGGUGAAAUGCUUAGAUAUGACACAGAACACCGAUAGCGAAGGCAGCUCACUAAGCUGUAACUGACGCUCAUGCACGAAAGCGUGGGGAUCAAACAGGAUUAGAUACCCCGGUAGUCC
rnacentral:rRNA from 1 species